rnacentral:rRNA from 1 species
AAUGGGCGAAAGCCUGACGCAGCAACGCCGCGUGUGUGAUGAAGGCCUUCGGGUUGUAAAGCACUGUCCAGAGGGAAGAAAACCGGGUUUACCCCUCGGUCUGACGGUACCUCUGAAGAAAGCACUGGCUAACUCCGUGCCAGCAGCCGCGGUAAUACGGAGAGUGCAAGCGUUGUUCGGAAUCAUUGGGCGUAAAGGGCGUCUAGGUGGCCUGGCAAGUCAGAUGUGAAAUCCCUCGGCUUAACCGGGGACGUGCAUUUGAAACUGCUAGGCUUGAGUGUCGGAGGGGGUAGCGGAAUUCCCGGUGUAGAGGUGAAAUUCGUAGAUAUCGGGAGGAACACCAGUGGCGAAGGCGGCUACCUGGCCGAACACUGACACUGAAGCGCGAAAGCGUGGGGAGCAAACAGGAUU